rnacentral:tRNA from 1 species
GAUCCAUUAGCUCAGUCGGCAGAGCACCUGACUUUUUUAAUCAGGGUUGUCCCGCGUUCGAGUCGCGGAUGGAUCACCA